AUUCCAGCUCCAAUAGCGUACAUUAAAGUUGUUGCAGUUAAAAAGCUCGUAGUUGGAUUUCUGGUGUCGCAGUGCUUCCGCGUGUUUAAUUACAUGUCGAGUUGUGUUUGCGUCGCCAUCUUUUAGCAGCACCUUCCUGGCAUUAGGUUGUUGGGUUGGUAAUGCUAAUCGUUUACUGUGAAGAAAUUAGAGUGUUCAAAGCAGGCUUAUGCCGUUGAAUACGUUAGCAUGGAAUAAUGAGAUAGGACCUUGAUACUAUUUUGUUGGUUUGCGCAUCAAGGUAACGAUUAAUAGGGUCAGUUGGGGGUAUUCGUAUUCCGUUGUCAGAGGUGAGAUUCUUGGAUUUAUGGAAGACAAACUAAUGCGAAAGCAUCUACCAAGGAUGUUUUCAUUG
rnacentral:rRNA from 1 species